AUUGAACGCUGGCGGCAGGCCUAACACAUGCAAGUCGAGCGGAUGAAGGGAGCUUGCUCCUGGAUUCAGCGGCGGACGGGUGAGUAAUGCCUAGGAAUCUGCCUGGUAGUGGGGGAUAACGUCCGGAAACGGGCGCUAAUACCGCAUACGUCCUGAGGGAGAAAGUGGGGGAUCUUCGGACCUCACGCUAUCAGAUGAGCCUAGGUCGGAUUAGCUAGUUGGUUGGGUAAAGGCCUACCAAGGCGACGAUCCGUAACUGGUCUGAGAGGAUGAUCAGUCACACUGGAACUGAGACACGGUCCAGACUCCUACGGGAGGCAGCAGUGGGGAAUAUUGGACAAUGGGCGAAAGCCUGAUCCAGCCAUGCCGCGUGUGUGAAGAAGGUCUUCGGAUUGUAAAGCACUUUAAGUUGGGAGGAAGGGCAGUAAGUUAAUACCUUGCUGUUCUGACGGUACCAACAGAAUAAGCACCGGCUAACUUCGUG
rnacentral:rRNA from 1 species